rnacentral:SRP_RNA from 1 species
GCUGGGCGUGGUGGCUCACGCCUGUAAUCCCAGCACUUUGGGAGGCUGAGGCAGGCGGAUCACCUGAGGUCAGGAGUUGGAGACCAGCCUGGCCAACAUGGUGAAACCCUGUCUCUA